GGCGCAAUUACUCGCUAAACAACAACAACAACAGCAGCCAACAAGACAACAGCAACAAACGAACGGCGAAAAUCUUGAGUGAACGUCUCCUAAACAGAGGUGUAGUCAGUGAAUGUAGCACCAUACAGACAGUGAUGGAGAUGAGCCACAUCACAUGGACUGUGAAAGGAAUGACACUUCCAGUGUCAGUAUGGACUUUCAUAUUAGAUGUUCUGCUGCCUCAGUGGAUGAGAUGAUGGAGAUGGAGGAACAUCCUACAGAAGUGAUACCAACACCUCCACUGCUCUGAUGCUGCUGGAUUGCGAGGAUGAAGUCCUGGAAAUGGAGGACCAUCAUACAGACCUACUGAUGCUGCUGGGUUGUGAUGGCGGCGGCGGCAGCGACGACGAGGACUACUGCGGCAGCGGCUGGCCCCUGACUCAAGUUAUGUUAUUUGUUGCCCCUGUGGGUAAGAAAUAGCAUUUCUUGGGUGUGAAAGGGGUGGUGCAGAAGUAUUUUUUUCACCUGUUUCCUGUCUUUUUCAAUAAAAAUUUUUGUACACCCCCCUGGUUUUCAUGUGAGGGCUCAUUAUGAGGCCCUAGUUUCAUCGCGCCCUUACCGAGCAAGCCCAGGAAUCGAACCACCGGCCAGCCUCACAGUAGUCAGUUGUGUUUGUGCCACCGACCUUCUGACUGAGCUAUCUGUGAGCUACUAAAGAAGUGUUCGGAACUUGUAUUUAUUGUAUUUUUUUGGCCCUCAAAGUGUGUAAAAGCUCACAUGUUCUCUGUGGGUCUUGAACUAACUACCUUUGAGUGCAGGGGAUGAGUCUUGCACUAGUUUUAACCACUGAGCUAUUCUAUCAGUUGAGAUUGUGAAUUUGGAAGUGGUAUUUAUUGUGUUUGCUUCCGCUCCUCUGUUUUUUGGGUGAAAAGCAAGUACCAGAGCGGGACUUGAUCUCACAACCUUGGAAUCUAUAGUGAAAGUGUGCCUUUUGCCUGAUGCUUAGACCACUGAGCUAAACUCAAGGUUAGGAAGUUGGAGUCAAUUUCCAAGUAUAAGAAAUGUAUACAGCUGAAACCCCAAGGAGCGAGAAGGGACGGAAAUUUUGAAAAAAUAGAUCCCGCUGUGGGAUUUGAACCCACAAUCUCAAAAGUUGUAGGAUUGUGUGACAGUUGUCCCAUUUCUUAACCACUGUGCUACAGCUGAAUUGCUGAUGUGAGAGGUUUUUUUUUGGUAUUUGACAUGUGAACUUGAACUGUGAGGACAGACUCUGCUCCAUCUCCGAGUAGGGUCUAGGCCUUUGGCUCAAACAGGUCAGGAAGGGGAACUGAACCAGACUGAAAGUCAUGUGAAGUCUGUGAUACAGACAACUCACCACUACACCAGCCUAACCUGCCAUGUGACAGAGUCUGGUCCACACCAGCUCUGAAUGGAAAGUGUCCUGACAUUACUUCUGUUAUGAUUUGAUGCUUUAUCAAUAAAAUUGGAUUUGGAUUAUUCCAAAUCCAAAGUUCAGUGUUUUCUCCAUGAAGACUGAUGUUUGUAGUGCUGUCAUUGGUUUAAUGUAUUACCCGCAUAUAUUUUUUUGUUAGUGUUUCUGUAAAGUCCUGUACCAGUUUUAGAGCACUGAGAUUUUACUAGUUAGUAUUAGUUGAUUGGUCCACUUAUUAUUUUUUGGGUAACAGUCAUCGCAGACUCUAUCACAUGGCAGGUUAGGCUGGUGUAGUGGUGAGUUGUGUAAAAACUUAAAUGUUCUUUGCAGGUCUUGAACUAGCUCCCUUUCAGUGUAGGGGUUGAGUCUCAUACUGGUCUUAAUCACUGAGCUAUUCUGUCAGCUAUUGAGGAAGUGUUCGGAACUUGUAUUUAUUGUGUAUUUUUUUGGACCUGAAAAUAUGUAAAAGCUCAAGUGUUCUCUGUGGGUCUUGAACUAACUACCUUUAAGGUGUAGGGGAUGAGUCUUGCACUAGUUUUAACCACUGAGCUUUUCCAUCAGCUGAUACUGCAAAUUUGGAAGUUGCAUUUAUUGUGUUUGCUUCUGCUCCUCUGUUUUUUGAGUGAAAAGUAAGUACUAGUGCAGGACUUGAUCUCACAACCUUGGCAUCUGUAGUGAAAGUGUGCCUUUUGCCUGAUGCUUAGACCACUGAGCUAAACUCAAGGUUGGGAAGAUGGAGUCAAUUUCCAAGUAUAAGAAAUGUAUACAGCUGAAACCCUGAGGUGUGAGAAGGGAUGAAAAUUUUGAUCCUGGUGUGGGAUUUGAAUUCACAAUCUCAGAAGUUGUAGGAUUGUGUGACAGUUGUCCCAUUUCUUAACCACUGUGCUACAGCUGAAUUGCUGAUGUGAGAGGUUUUUUUUUGGUAUUUGACAUGUGAACUUGAACUGUGAGGACAGACUCUGCUCCAUCUCCGAGUAGGGUCUAGGCCUUUGGCUCAAACAGGUCAGGAAGGGGAACUGAACCAGACUGAAAGUCAUGUGAAGUCUGUGAUACAGACAACUCACCACUACACCAGCCUAACCUGCCAUGUGACAGAGUCUGGUCAACAUCAGCUCUGAAUGGAAAGUGUCCUGACAUUACUUCUGUUAUGAUUUGAUGCUUUAUCAAUAAAAUUGGAUUUGGAUUAUUCCAAACUGACAUUCACAGUGCUGUCAGAGGUUUAAUGUAUUACCCGCAUAUAUAUUUUUUGUUAGUGUUUCUGUAAAGUCCUGUACCAGUUUUAGAGCACUGAGAUUUUACUAGUUAGUAUUAGUUGAUUGGUCCACUUAUUAUUUUUUGGGUAACAGUCAUCGCAGACUCUAUCACAUGGCAGGUUAGGCUGGUGUAGUGGUGAGUUGUCUGUAUCACAGACUUCACAUGACUUUCAGUCUGGUUCAGUUCCCCUUCCUGACCUCUUUGAGCCAAAGGCCUAGACCCUACUCGGAGAUGGAGCAGAGUCUGUCCUCACACUUCAAGUUCACAUGUCAAAUACCAAAAAUAAACCCUCUCACAUCAGCAAUUCAGCUGUAGCACAGUGGUUAAAGAAUGGGACAACUGUCACACAACCCUACAACUUCUGAGAUUGUGGAUUCAAAUCCCACACCAGGAUCAAAAUUUUCAUUCCUUUUCACACCUCAGGGUUUCAGCUGUAUACAUUUCUUACACUUGGAAAUUGACUCCAAUUUCCUAACCUUGAGUUUAGCUCAGUGGUCUAAGCAUCAGGCUAAAGGCACACUUUCACUACAGAUACCAAGGUUGUGAGAUCAAGUCCUGCUCUAGUACUUACUUUUCACUCAAACAACAGAGGAGCGGAAGCAAACACAAUAAAUACAACUUCCAAAUUUGCAGUAUCAGCUGAUGGAAAAGCACAGUGGUUAAAACUAGUGCAAGACUCAUCCCCUACACCUUAAAGGUAGUUAGUUCAAGACCCACAGAGAACACUUGAGCUUUUACACACGUUCAGGUCCAAAAAGACACACGAUAAAUACAAGUUCCGAACACUUUCUCAAUAGCUGACAGAAUAGCUCAGUGUUUAAGACCAGUAUGAGACUCAACCCCUACACUGAAAGGGAGCUAGUUCAAGACCUGCAAAAAACAUUUAAGCUUUUACACAACUCACCACUACACCAGCCUAACCUGCCAUGUGAUAGAGUCUGCGAUGACUCUUACCCAAAAAAUAAUAAGUGGACAAAUCAACUAAUACUAACUAGUAAAAUCUCAGUGCUCUAAAACUGGUACAGGACUUUACAGAAACACUAACAAAAAAAUAUAUGCGGGUAAUACAUUAAACCUCUGACAGCACUGUGAAUGUCAGUUUGGAAUAAUCCAAAUCCAAUUUUAUUGAUAAAGCAUCAAAUCAUAACAGAAGUAAUGUCAGGACACUUUCCAUUCAGAGCUGGUGUGGACCAGACUCUGUCACAUGGCAGGUUAGGCUGGUGUAGUGGUGAGUUGUCUGUAUCACAGACUUCACAUGACUUUCAGUCUGGUUCAGUUCCCCUUCCUGACCUGUUUGAGCCAAAGGCCUAGACCCUACUCGGAGAUAGAGCAGAGUCUGUCCUCACAGUUCAAGUUCACAUGUCAAAUACCAAAAAAAAACCUCUCACAUCAGCAAUUCAGCUGUAGCACAGUGGUUAAGAAAUGGGACAACUGUCACACAAUCCUACAACUUUUGGGAUUGUGGGUUCAAAGCCCACAGCGGGAUCUAUUUUUUCAAAAUUUCCGUCCCUUCUCGCUCCUCAGGGUUUCAGCUGUAUACAUUUCUUAUACUUGGAAAUUGACUCCAACUUCCUAGCCUUGAGUUUAGCUCAGUGGUCUAAGCAUCAGGCAAAAGGCACACUUUCACUACAGAUUCCAAGGUUGUGAGAUCAAGUCCUGCUCUGGUACUUGCUUUUCACCCAAAAAACAGAGGAGCGGAAGCAAACACAAUAAAUACAACUUCCAAAUUCACAGUAUCAACUGACAGAAUAGCUCAGUGGUUAAAACUAGUUCAAGACUCAUCCCCUGCACUCAAAGGUAGUUAGUUCAAGACCCGCAGAGAACAUGUGAGCUUUUACACACUUUGAGGGCCAAAAAAAUACAAUAAAUACAAGUUCCGAACACUUCAUUAGUAGCUCACAGAUAGCUCAGUCAGAAGGUCAGUGGCACAAACACAACUGACUACUGUGAGGCUGGCCGGUGGUUCGAUUCCUGGGCUUGCUCGGUAAGGGCGUGAUGAAACUAGGGCCUCAUAAUGAGCCCUCACAUGAAAACCAGGGGGGUGUACAAAAAUUUUUAUUGUAAAAGACAGGAAACAGGUGAAAAAAAAACUUCUGCACCCCCCCCUUUCACACCCAAGAAAUGCUAUUUCUUACCCACAGGGGCAACAAAUAACAUAACUUGAGUCAGGGGCCAGCCACUGCCGCAGUAGUCCUCGUCGUCGCUGCCGCCGCCGCCAUCACAACCUGGAAGAAAAACAACACAAAAACUCAACAUAACCUUCAAAAAAACACACCAAUAGCAUUACACAGACAAUUCAACUCAGUUACGUCACAUUAGGAAAACUACUCAAUAGCUUCAAAACACAACCAAUACAAAUACACUUUCAAAAAACACAAGACAUUCAUGGAACCUCAAAUACUAAACAAACACUAAUCAUUACUCUAAAACACCAGCUCCUCAUCAUCUCCUGCUCCAUAACCCCUCCCUGACACAUCUCAGGAAACGCAGAGGGGUCUAGGCCCCCUCUGCCCCUCCCUCUCCGUCCGCUCCCGAUACUCAGCUCCCCCGAGUCUUGAACCUUCAACCUGCCGAUGACAGGCGGCCGGACAACAGCCAAGGACCAAGCCACUGAGCCACCGAGCACCGGGGCACUAACGCCUCCUGUCUCACUGCUUUUCACACAACUGCACAGGACCACAGGCCCAACAACACAUCACAUCAAACAAAAACAUCACAUUUCCAUCUCAUCUGUUUCACUGGAACUAAUUCACUCAGCUUUUACACAACACUAAUCUCUCACACAGUAACACUCACAACCACAACCUCACACUCCUCUAAAACCCUUCCAAAUAAAACAUACUAUUUCAUCCAAUUUAACUCAGACAGUCAGGAAUGCAUAUUUCUGGAAACCAACAGUCAACCUGGACUAUGUCUGCAUUAGAAGCCAAAUCAAACUUGCAAAUCUGAGAAGAACAACCAUUUCAACAACUACACACCUGCUACUACUACCUCAAUUCAGCAAAUAAACCAUCUGACAAAAACAGGACAAAAUGCGUCUCAUCCAUUUAACUGGGCCUUUAUGGGACAAAUUCACAGUCUGAUUUUAGACAGCAGACAUCUGAGUCAUUAACACACACAACCAGACUGUAGAAAACCUGGAUAAAUCUAACUCUCACAAAUGCUACAAAAAAACUAUUCAGAAAACAGUUGGACAAAUUCAUAGAUAAACAUAAACUACUCACUCAAAGUCAGUACUGAUUCAGACCAAACAGAGCAACUUCUCUGGCAUUAAUAGAGUCAACAGAGGAAACUACCAACUCAAUAGAUCAAAACCAUCACACAGUUGGAGCAUUCAGUGACCUCAAAAAAGCUUUUCAGUAAUAAAGAUAAAAUAUCUCACCCAGCAGCAUCAGUAGGUCUGUAUGAUGGUCCUCCAAUUCCAGGACUUCAUCCUCGCAAUCUACAAGUGGGACAAAAGAAUUACUGACAUUACUUUGACAUCCUACAGAGAACAUGUGGAAUGAGAAGGACCAUCUAUUCUAUGAAAGGCAGAGGGGAAGACACAAAAGACUCCACAGACUCAACAUCUGCAGUGCAAGAGUUAGCCAGGGCUCCAGCACCAGCAAAGAAAAGAACACUACAAAUGUUCUUAUUUAUCAUUGUGUUUACCGUUUGCUUUUCUUGUAUCAUUGUGUUUACAAUUUGCCUUUUCUUAUUUAUCAGUGGGUUUACAGUCCUUAUGUUGACAGUGUUACUAAUUAAAGUUCCUUAUUUUAAUUUAGUGUUUAUUUUAACUUUGUGUUGAUUUUGGGUAUUAUAUGAAUUUAUGUUCAUGUACAGGACAUAUCCUGUGUAUA